GACCGCUCUGGUUGUCUAAUGGUUAAAACGUCCUCCUCGGAUGCGGGAGGACGUGAGUUCGAUCCCCGACCGAGUCA